CACGUAGGGCGCAAGCGUUGUCCGGAAUUAUUGGGCGUAAAGGGUGCGUAGGCGGUUCGGUAAGUUUCGUGUGAAAUCUUCGGGCUCAACUCGAAGCCUGCACGAGAUACUGCCGGGCUUGAGUGUGGGAGAGGUGAGUGGAAUUUCCGGUGUAGCGGUGAAAUGCGUAGAUAUCGGAAGGAACACCUGUGGCGAAAGCGGCUCACUGGACCACAACGUGACGCUGAGGCACGAAAGCUAGGG
rnacentral:rRNA from 1 species